GGCUUGUAUAUAAUCGAUUUAAAGUACAUGUAUUCACUACAUUUUAACAUAUUUUUCUGACAUUCUGCGACAUAUUUAUAUAUCAGUAGGUAGCUAGUGGCGGCAUGCCACCUGUUGACACAGAUCACGGUUCCAGUAAAGCCUGUUCCGCCAAUAUGUCAUUUAUAGCCUCAUUUUGGAUUUAUUUCUGUCAGAAUAGAACAACGGCAAUUUAACAUCAUUUUAGUACCUGUCUUCAAUAAGUUGAGAAGGAAAAAACAACAGGAUGAGGGUAUCAGCAGUAAUUUUCUGGGUUGUAUGUAUAACAGUUGCAGCAUUAUCACUUGCAGAAGCUGGAGAAGAUGAGGAUAACAGCAACGUUGAUAAAUUAUGUGCCGAGAUAGCCGAAGAAGAAUCGGCAACAUGUUUGUUCAAGAAUACAAUAUGGACAUUCGAUGCUAGCACAAGAAACUGUGUGGCAAAAGUUGGCUGUUAUCCAAGAUUUGCACCUGAAAACAACGUCUUUAGGAGACCGGAUCACUGUCUUACAUGGUGUAUUACAGCAUA